rnacentral:rRNA from 1 species
GAUGAACGCUGGCGGCGUGCCUAAUACAUGCAAGUCGAGCGAACAGACGAGGAGCUUGCUCCUCUGACGUUAGCGGCGGACGGGUGAGUAACACGUGGAUAACCUAUCUAUAAGACUGGGAUAACUUCGGGAAACCGGAGCUAAUACAGGCUAAUAUAUUGAACCGCAUGGUUCAAUAGUGAAAGACGGUUUUGCUGUCGCUUGUUGAUGGAUCAGCGCCGCAUUAGCUAGUUGGUAAGGUAACGGCUUACCAAGGCAACGAUGCGUAGCCGACCUGAGAGGGUGAUCGGCCACACUGGAACUGAGACACGGUCCAGACUCCUACGGGAGGCAGCAGUAGGGAAUCUUCCGCAAUGGGCGAAAGCUUGACGGAGCAACGCCGCGUGAGUGAUGAAGGUCUUCGGAUCGUAAAACUCUGUUAUUAGGGAAGAACAAAUUUGUAAUUAACUAGGCACGUCUUGACGGUACCUAAUCAGAAAGCCACGGCUAACUACGUG